rnacentral:rRNA from 1 species
AGGACGAACGCUGGCGGCGUGCUUAACACAUGCAAGUCGAGCGGAAAGGCCCUUCGGGGUACUCGAGCGGCGAACGGGUGAGUAACACGUGAGCAACCUGCCCUUAGCUUCGGGAUAGCUCCGGGAAACCGGAAUUAAUACCGAAUAUGAUCUUUGCUGACAUCAGCAGAAGUGGAAAGUUUUUCGGCUAGGGAUGGACUCGCGGCCUAUCAGCUAGUUGGUGAGGUAACGGCCCACCAAGGCGACGACGGGUA